CACGUAGGCGGUCUUGUAAGUCGGGUGUGAAAGCCCUUGGCUCAACCAAGGAACAGCACCUGAUACUGCAAGGCUUGAGGACGGGAGGGGAGAGUGGAACUCUUGGUGGAGCGGUGAAAUGCGUAGAUAUCAGGAGGAACACCGGUGGCGAAAGCGACUCUCUGGUCCGUUCCUGACGCUGAGGUGCGAAAGCUAGGGGAGCAAAC
rnacentral:rRNA from 1 species